UACGUAGGGGGCAAGCGUUGUCCGGAUUUAUUGGGCGUAAAGAGCGUGUAGGCGGCCAGGUAGGUCUGCUGUGAAAACUCGAGGCUCAACCUCGAGACGUCGGCGGAAACCAUCUGGCUAGAGUCCGGAAGAGGAGAGUGGAAUUCCGUGGAUGUAGCGGUGAAAUGCGCAGAGUAUCAGGAAGAACACCCGUGGCGAAGGCGGCGCGUCUGGGGACGGUACUGACG
rnacentral:rRNA from 1 species